rnacentral:rRNA from 1 species
AUUGAACGCUGGCGGCAUGCCUUACACAUGCAAGUCGAACGGUAACGGGCCUUCGGGUGCCGACGAGUGGCGAACGGGUGAGUAAUGUAUCGGAACGUACCUUUCAGUGGGGGAUAACGUAGCGAAAGUUACGCUAAUACCGCAUAUUCUGUGAGCAGGAAAGCAGGGGAUCGCAAGACCUUGCGCUGAUUGAGCGGCCGAUGUCAGAUUAGCUAGUUGGUGAGGUAAAGGCCCACCAAGGCGACGAUCUGUAGCGGGUCUGAGAGGAUGAUCCGCCACACUGGAACUGAGACACGGUCCAGACUCCUACGGGAGGCAGCAGUGGGGAAUUUUGGACAAUGGGGGCAACCCUGAUCCAGCCAUGCCGCGUGAGUGAAGUAGGCCUUCGGGUUGUAAAGCUCUUUCGGCCGGGAAGAAAUCGCACGGGCUAAUACCCUGUGUGGAUGACGGUACCGGAAUAAGGAGCACCGGCUAACUACGUGCCAGCCGCCGCAGUAACAC